rnacentral:tRNA from 1 species
CGCUGCGCUCCGUGGCGGAGGCCGGGUCUCAUAAGCCCGAGUCAGGCGGUUCGACUCCGUCCGCAGCGUCCA